rnacentral:rRNA from 1 species
AUUGAACGCUGGCGGCAUGCUUUACACAUGCAAGUCGAACGGUAACAGGCCGCAAGGUGCUGACGAGUGGCGAACGGGUGAGUAAUGCAUCGGAACGUGCCCAGUCGUGGGGGAUAACGCAGCGAAAGCUGUGCUAAUACCGCAUACGAUCUAUGGAUGAAAGCGGGGGACCGUAAGGCCUCGCGCGAUUGGAGCGGCCGAUGUCAGAUUAGGUAGUUGGUGGGGUAAAGGCCCACCAAGCCAACGAUCUGUAGCUGGUCUGAGAGGACGACCAGCCACACUGGGACUGAGACACGGCCCAGACUCCUACGGGAGGCAGCAGUGGGGAAUUUUGGACAAUGGGCGCAAGCCUGAUCCAGCAGUGCCGCGUGCAGGAAGAAGGCCUUCGGGUUGUAAACUGCUUUUGUACGGAACGAAACGGUCUGGGUUAAUACCUCGGGCUAAUGACGGUACCGUAAGAAUAAGCACCGGCUAACGACGUGCCAGCAGCCGCGGUAACAC